GGGAAUGUGGCUUAGUGGUAGAGUGCUUGCCUGGCCUGCAUGAAGCCUUGGGUUCGAUUCCUCAGUACCA
rnacentral:tRNA from 1 species